rnacentral:rRNA from 1 species
GACGAACGCUGGCGGCGUGCUUAACACAUGCAAGUCGAACGGAAAGGCCCUGCUUGCAGGGUACUCGAGUGGCGAACGGGUGAGUAACACGUGGGUGAUCUGCCCUGCACUUCGGGAUAAGCUUGGGAAACUGGGUCUAAUACCGGAUAGGAGCCAUCUUUAGUGUGGUGGUUGGAAAGUUUUUUCGGUGUAGGAUGAGCUCGCGGCCUAUCAGCUUGUUGGUGGGGUAAUGGCCUACCAAGGCGGCGACGGGUAGCCGGCCUGAGAGGGUGUACGGCCACAUUGGGACUGAGAUACGGCACAGACUCCUACGGGAGGCAGCAGUGGGGAAUAUUGCACAAUGGGCGCAAGCCUGAUGCAGCGACGCCGCGUGGGGGAUGAAGGCCUUCGGGUUGUAAACUCCUUUCGCUAGGGACGAAGCUUUUUUGUGACGGUACCUAGAUAAGAAGCACCGGCUAACUACGUG